AAACUCGUCACCAUUUUCAAGUUACAAAGACAGAGAGAGUAAUGGCAACAAUGCAAGAGUGUCCAAGAAGUCCAGAAGCGAAACUUGGGAUGCGAGUGGAGGAUCUAUGAGAUGUUCAAGAGGAAAUCCUAUUUGGUUGUAUGUGCUAUCAAAAAUUAAGGGCACAUGUUGUAAUGGUCGUGAGGAACACCAAGGUGUCUACUGAGUUAAUCCAGAGGUGGCAGAUUGAUUUUGCUGGAUUGGGUUGCACUCAAUGUUGAGGUGAUGGUGAUGGAUCUUCUUGUUGGAAUCGUUUGCUAGGUUGUUGAGGCAUGGAAUGCCCGCGGAGCACGCUUGCAUGUUCUUAUUAAUAAACUAGAAUUUUUUUCUUUUGGAGAGCCACAAGUUUUCAAAAGAUAGUUACGAAGAUCACAUGCAAGUGAGUUAUCUUGUGAGCCAUAAAAGUUGGUGUUGGACAUAUUGAUGCUUAAAUUGCUAUUACUAGGGUAGAUAAUUUGUUUUUGACAUAAGAAUUAAUGAAUGAGCUUGUGUUGUCUGACUCUCACAAUUAGUUUUCUUAAUCUUAUUUUUUUCCAUGAACUUGACAUAUUGCAUCUUAAUUCUGAUGUGAGUGAUGGUGGCUGAUUAUGAUUUCUA